rnacentral:rRNA from 1 species
UACGUAGGGUGCAAGCGUUGUCCGGAUUUAUUGGGCGUAAAGAGCUCGUAGGCGGUUCGGUAAGUCGGGUGUGAAACCUCCAGGCUCAACCUGGAGACGCCACCCGAUACUGCUGUGAGAGUCCGGUAGGGGAGCGUGGAAUUCCUGGUGUAGCGGUGAAAUGCGCAGAUAUCAGGAGGAACACCAGCGGCGAAGGCGGCGCUCUGGGCCGGAACUGACGCUGAGGAGCGAAAGCGUGGGGAGCAAACAGG